GGGGAGGGGAGACGAUCGCUGGAGCAAUCCAGAGGAAAGUCCGGACACCGCAGGAAAGGAUGCCGGCGAAAGGCCGGGGGUCGAAAGGCUACGGAAAGUGCAACAGAGACAAUUCCAACAAUGAUUGGGUGAAAAGAUGCCUGAAAAGGCUCCUGCCGUAGUAAUGCGGUAGUGUUGUAAACCCCAUCCGGUGCAAGGAAGACGGCAGGAAAGUUCCGAACGUAACCUGCUGUUAAUAGGGCCGCUUGAGGAAGGCAGUGAUGCUUUCCCUAGACAAAUGAUCGGAAAACAGAAUCCGGCUUACCAUCUCCUCCCCAUCU
rnacentral:RNase_P_RNA from 2 species